rnacentral:tRNA from 1 species
CUGCCCGUAGCUCAGUGGAAGAGCCGCCGCCUUCUAAGCGGAUACGCGGGGGUUCGAAUCCCUCCGGGCAGGCCA